rnacentral:lncRNA from 13 species
CUUGUUGCUUUGAGUUUAAAAGCCAUGUUUGCUGCCGAUGCUGAGCCUGCCAUGAGUUUCCCUUCCCUCGUGGCUUUUGGUUGCCAUGUUGACCCCACCAGAACCAGGUGCAAGCCUAGGUCACUCUCCCAGCUGCUGCUCACACAGGGACCCAUGGCCAGAAGGUGAACACCCUGGGGGAAGUUUCCAUGCGCAGUUCCUGACUGCGGUUUUUAACAGCCAGGUUUUUUUUCAGUUUUGUGCUGCCACCCUGUUUUGCCACUUUGCUUUUUUAAGCACUGCCACUCUGCUUAGAGCCUCCGAAGCUGGCCGAGCCUGGCCGGAACACAACUUGCCUUACCCUGCAGCUUUUUUCCCCACCUGGCUUUGACUUGCUGCCAGGCUGGACUGUGGGUGGUUCCAGUUCCUGUUCCCAUCAGCAAAGGAGCAAAAGGGGAGGGUGCUUACCCUUUCCACUGUACAGGUUUCUGCAGGUUUUGGUUCCAGAAAUAAUUUCGGAGGGAUAGAGAAGAAAAGGGAAAGCAGAGAAACAACUUGGAGACAUUUCAGUACUGAAAGCACAUUUCCAGCUCUACUAACGUAUGCAGGCACAUAAGCAGGUUGAAGAGCUCCUCUCAGCAUUUCUUGUAAGGUUUUGGGGUACAUGUGAAGAACAUGCAAGAUUGUUGCAGAGGUACAUACAUGUCAAUGUGGUUUGCUGCCUUCCUCUCCAUCACCUAUAUCUGGCAUUUCUCCCCAUGUUACCCCUCCCCAACUCCCCACCACCUGCUGUCCCUCCCCUAAUUCCCCCCUACAGACCCCAGUGUGUGAUGUUCCCCUCUCUGUGUCCAUGUGUUCUCAUUGUUCAACAUCUACCUAUGAGUGAGACCAUGCAGUAUUUGAUUUUCUGUUCUUGCAUCAGUUUGCUGAGAAUGAUGUUCUCAAGGUUCAUCCAUGUCCCUACAAAUGACACGAACUCAUCGUUUCUGAUUGCUGCAUAAUAUUCCAUGGUGUAUAUGUGCCACAUUUUCUCUGUCCAGUCUAUCAUCAACAGGCAUUUGAGUUGGUUCCAAGCCUUUGCGAUUGUAAACAGUGCCACAAUGAACAUUUGUGUGCAUGUGUCCUUAUAAUAGAAUGAUUUAUAAUUCUUUGGAUAUAUACCCAGUAAUAGGAUUGCUUGGUCAAAUGGAAUUUCUAUUUCUAGAUCCUUGAGGAAUCACCACACUGUCUUCCACAAUGGUUGAACUAAUUUACACUCCCACCAACUGUAUAAAAGUGUUCCUAUUUCUCCACAUCCUAUCCAGCAUCUGUCGUCUCCAGAUUUUUUAGUAAUCACCAUUCUAACUGGCGUGAGAUGGUAUCUCAAUGUAGUUUUGAUUUGCAUUUCUCUAAUGACUGGUGAUCAUGAGCAUUUUUUCUUAUGCUUGUUGGCCUUAUAUAUGUCUUCUUUCGUAAAGUGUCUGUUCAUAUCCUUUGCCCACUUUUGAAUGGGCUUGUUUGGUUUUUUUUGUAAAUCUGUUUUUGUUGUUUGUAGAUUCUGAAUAUUAGCCCUUUGUCAAAUGGGUAAACUGCAAAAAUGUUUUCCCAUUCUGUUGGUUGCUGACUCCCUCUAAUGAUUGUUUCUUUUGCUGUGCAGAAGCUCUGGGGUUUAAUUAGAUCCAAUUUGCCUAUUUUCAUUUUGUUGCCAAUCCUUUUUUUGUUUUAGUCAUGAAACUUGCCUAUGCCUAUGUCUUGAAUGGUUUUGCCUAGAUUUUCUUCUAGGGUUGUUAUGGUGUUAGGUCUUAUGCUUAAGUCUUUAAUUCAUCUGGAGUUAAUUUUAGUGUAAGGUGUCAGGAAGGGGUCCAGUUUCUGCUUUCUGCACAUGGCUAGCAAGUUUUCCCAACACCAUUUAUUAAACAGGGAAUUCUUUUCCCAUUGCUUGUUUUUGUGAGGGUUGUCAACAAUCAGAUGGUUGUAGAUGUGUGGCAUUGCCUCUGAGGCCUCUGUUCUGUUCCAUUGGUCUAUUUCUCUGUUUUGGUACCAGUACUAUGCUGUUUUUAUUACUGUAGCCUUGUAGUAUAAUUUGAAGUCAGGUAGUGUGAUGCAUCUAGCUUUGUUCUUUUUGCUUAGAAUUGACUUAGCUAUGUGGGCUGUAACAACACACACUUCAGUUUGUAUAAAAUAUUUUUUAAAAGUUUUAUUUUUAGAUUAUUACUUGAAAUUAAGAUGCCAUCAAAAUAGUGACAGUGAUAUAUUCUUAUGGUCUUAAUGUCUGGUUAGCUAAAAUAAAUAGAAAGUCAAAAUGAUUUUGCA